rnacentral:piRNA from 1 species
UCACGAAUGAUUUUAGUAGGGACACAGAUU